AUGCUCUUGUGUAGUUGUGUGUGCCCGUCGUCGCUGCGGCAGCUCCGGUCGUGCGCGCCGGCAAGACCUCCACUGCCAGUUCCUGUCGCUUUGGGUCUUACAUCAUCUGUCGCAUCCCCAAACAUCAUCGACUGUGGCCCUAUCCGAGAAACAAAUGAGACGACCAUGGCCCCUCUCCAAGCUCUCUCCUCCGUCCUCGUCCUCCUGCUCCUCACACAGCACGCGCGCACGGCGAGGGCGAGCACGCUGGAGGACACGUGCAGGCUCGUCGGCACCGGCAGGGCGCAGGACUACGACUUCUGCGUGAAGACGCUGGGGGCGGACCCGGCGAGCGCGACGGCCGACGAGCUCGGCCUGGUCGUCAUCGCGGUGAGGAUCGCCAUGGCGACUGCCAAGGCCACCGGCGACCGCAUCGCCCGGCUGCAGGCCUCCGAGACGUCGCCCCGGCGGCGGCUGGUCCUGGACGAGUGCGCCAACGACUACGCCUUGACAGUGCGCUGGCUGGGGCGCGCCUCCAUGGACUUGGCCGCGGGCGGGGAUGAGGACCGGCUGACGGAGGCGGCCACCCUGCUGGAGCACGUUCGUGGCACGCCGGCGCGCUGCGAUAAGGCGUUCGUCCUCUGGGCCGGCGAGAGGACGCCGCUGACCGACGCGGACCACGAGCUCAACGGGGUGACCAUGAUGGCGUUGAAUAUCUUGCGCCAUUGCUUAAAUGACGGGGCAAAAUGA
rnacentral:rRNA from 1 species